GGAGGGAGCACCCGCAAGUGAGGCUGGUAAAGAGACUCAGAGUGCAGGAGUAUUGGAACCUCCUACUCUAUUAUUCCUUGACCUAUCUCCUACUUGUCCAACAGGUUAGAGAUUAUUUUAGCUUGUUUGGAUAAGAGUGACAGCUGCUAAUUGACUACAGUACAGUGGUCCAUGAAGCCAUUUAAGCGAAGGGUGCAAAAGAAAUGUAAAGUAAGCAGGGAAAACUGUAAUGCGGGGCAGUUAAUGUCAAUCUUUACAGUAAAGAGUGGAAGACCAGAAGGUAAUGUUACCUCACUGGGCAAGCCAGGACUUCAGGGCUGGAGAGAAACUUACUGUGCAAGGGGAAGUAUUUUUUCAUCAUGAUCCAUGUCGGUGUCAACAAUAGGAAAAAUCAACUGGGCAAAGUGAACAUUGGGCUCGAGAUAACGGCACGCGCUGACUGCAUCAAUGAAAACUAUUCGUACAUUGUCCAGCUGCUCAAAUUAGACAUGAAUGGUGGAUGUGAGAAAGUGAGGACUGCAGA